UUUCAUGUAGUCUAGUGGCUAGGAUUCGUGGCUUUCAUCCACGCGACCGGGGUUCGAUUCCCGGCAUGAGGA
rnacentral:tRNA from 1 species